AUUGAACGCUGGCGGCAGGCCUAACACAUGCAAGUCGAGCGAGCGGCGGACGGGUGAGUAAUGUCUGGGAAACUGCCUGAUGGAGGGGGAUAACUACUGGAAACGGUAGCUAAUACCGCAUACCAUCAGAUGUGCCCAGAUGGGAUUAGCUAGUAGGUGGGGUAACGGCUCACCUAGGCGACGAUCCCUAGCUGGUCGGAGAGUAUGACCAGCCAUACUGGAACUGAGCCACGGUCCAGACUCCUACGGGAGGCAGCAGUGGUGAAUAUUGCACAAUGGGCGCAAGCCUGAUGCAGCCAUGCCGCGUGUGUGAAGAAGGCCUUCGGGUUGUAAAGCACUUUCAGCGGGGAGGCGUUACCCGCAGAAGAAGCACCGGCUAACUCCGUGCCAGCAGCCGCGGUAAUUC
rnacentral:rRNA from 1 species